ACGGAAGGCAGCAGUGAGGAAUAUUGGUCAAUGGGCGUAAGCCUGAACCAGCCAAGUAGCGUGAGGGAUGACUGCCCUACGGGUUGUAAACCUCUUUUGUUUGGGAAUAAAUGAGACUACGUGUAGUCUUUUGCAUGUACCUUUCGAAUAAGCAUCGGCUAAUUCCGUGCCAGCAGCCGCGGUAAUACGGAAGAUGCGAGCGUUAUCCGGAUUUAUUGGGUUUAAAGGGAGCGUAGGCGGCCUGUUAAGUCUGCGGUCAAAUGUCGGGGCCCAACCUUGGCAUGCCGUGGAUACUGGCGGGCUUGAGUGCACACAAGGAAGGUGGAAUUCGUCGUGUAGCGGUGAAAUGCUUAGAUAUGACGAAGAACUCCGAUUGCGAAGGCAGCCUUCUGGGGUGUUACUGACGCUGAGGCUCGAAAGUGCGGGAAUCAAACAGGAUUAGAUACCCUGGUA
rnacentral:rRNA from 1 species